CGGCUCGGAGUCGGUGGCUUUGAGGCCGUGUCAGAGCCAUGCUCCGGAAGGAAGGCAGGAGGAACAACCCCCCCCAAGACAGUGCGCUUCCAGCUCCCCGAGAGGCACUGGCACCAGGAGCUGGAGCUGGAGAGGCAGGAGGCUGCUGCUGCUGCUGCUGCCCUUUGGGAAGCAGCAGAUCCCCGGAGCUGUGCCGCGCUGCCGUGGGGGGAGCCCAGCCCCGUGGACGAGGACGGGCUGCCCCGCGGGCGGCCAGCUCGUGGGGUCAAGAGGAGCUGGCUGAGGGGCCUGACCUCCCGCCUGCGGGAGCUGCGCAGAUCGUGCGCGGGUGGGAAAGUGCCCAGAGCCCCAGGCACCUCCGGCCCUGCCCGCAGCAGCACGCAGACCCUCAGCAGCAAGCGGAGCUGCCGCCGCGGCAGGCAGGCAGGCAGGCAGGCAGGCAGGGAGGCAGGCAGGCAGGCAGGCAGGCACCGGCACUCAUUGCUGGGGCUUGGGCGUUCCUUGCAGUGCCAAGCUUUGCGCUCUUGCUCCGGCAAGAAGCUCUUCAAGAAGGCCCUGGCGCCUGCGGAGACCCUGGCUGCUGCGGGGCUCGUGCAGGAGGAGCAAGGGGAAAGCGGUGCUGUCACCUGGGGCCCAGCCAGCGACCAGGACGCGGCCGAGGACAUCCUCGACGCAGGCGUCCCCUCCGCUGAGCAAAUGCGAUGCCUUCUGAUGAAGAAGACUCGGAGRUGGGUAAGCCGCCAGCUGCCUGGGCGCGCAGGGAGCAAGGCUGGCAGGAYGYGGGCAUGCCGGGGUGCUGGGCUGAGCCGAGCAGCUGGCUGCAAAGGGCAUCUCCUCCUGGAGACGCCAGGAGAGCUGGGGGGAGCUGCGACACAUUUGCCAGGAGGCAUCUGGAGGCAGCCCAUGGGCAGCUGGGUCAGGGACAAGAAGCCUUGCGAGGCCUCAGCAAGGCCAUGCUGCCUGCUGCUAGUGUUUUCCUGCCUGCUCCAGCGGUUCGGGAUACACGUGGCACUUGCAGAGCAUAGGAUAGGCAAGAGCCAUGCUUGGCAGCAGCAGCACUCAGUCAGUCUCUCCUCUUCUCCCAUCUUCCUCCUUGUCCUUGGGUCACAGCAGAAGGGCAGCCCAGCGAGCCAAGCUGCGACGAGGUUAUCGAUGCGGCCCGACAGAUACAUCUGCAACUUGCAGAGCAAAUGGCAGCUCUUGCAGCUGGCAGCACAGAUGAGGUUUGCUGCCAGACAGCCCGAAACAGCAGACUACAGAAAUGCAUCAGCUUUAGUAGGCCCCACAUGUGCAACCAAGAGAACUUGAGCGAGGUGAGCAGGGCAGACCCCGAGGUCACGGUCGGGUUCAACCAGGAGCCGAGACCGCCAGGCAAGUUCAGCCACCGUCCCAGUGACCGUCCUCCGUGCCUGCUGGCGGCUGCACGCCAAGAGGCGCCGAACCGCCACCGCCGAGGAGCGGCCGCCUGGCGCGGGCAGGGCCGCCGCCGCCGAGGCCGAG
rnacentral:lncRNA from 1 species